UACAGAGGCCUCGAGCGUUAGGCGGAAUCACUGGGCUUAAAGCGUGUGUAGGUGGAUGCCUAAGUACCUUGUGAAAUCCCAUGGCUUAACCAUGGAAUUGCUUGGUAUACUGGGUGUCUUGAGCCACUCAGGGGCUACCGGAACAAGCGGUGGAGCGGUGAAAUGCGUAGAUAUCGCUUGGAACGCCAAAGGUGAAAACAGGUAGCUGGGGGUGUGCUGACACUGAGACACGAAAGCCAGGGGAGCAAACGGG
rnacentral:rRNA from 1 species